AAAAGGGGAAGAUAUUAAAUAGAUACAAAAAACUUUCCUCAAUAAAAAACAAUGUAUUGUAUAUGAAAAUAUAUAUAUUUUCUCGUUCACUGCUUUCAAAGGUCUCGUCGACCUCUUCCUCUCUAUUUUAUGUGUUUCUCAGGGUUUUGAUAUUUUCUCUCGCAUCUCUCGCGAUCGCAGAAGCUCUCCCAAUCCCUUUGAAUAAGGAAUCCUAAUCAUCAAGGUUUUCUCGAGGGUACGCGUACGACUUUUUCAAAUUAGGGUUUAAGAUCUUGCGGUACCACUACUUGUUUCGAUUUCAACUCGUUUAGUUUUGACUUUCGAACUGUUUUGUAGUUUUUAAGUUUGUGUUAGGGAUCAAAAUUGUUAGGGUUACGUGGGUGUAUUUGCGUUGCUUUGGUAUUGUUCAAUUUCUCAAUUGUUGUUUCUUGAGUAUAUAUGUCGAUUCAUACGCUUCAUCUUCAUGUUUUAUCACCAUCUGAUAGUUUGGGUUCUUGUGUUCGGUGAUCAAACGAGUUUAUGAUUCGAUAAUGUGGGUGUUCUAUUAUUUGUAACCUUUAAGCGUUUUCCUUGUUCUUGGUUAAGCUUCAGGUUCAGGGGAGAUUUCAACAUGGAGCGCAAGACAAUUGAUUUGGAUCAAGGAUGGGACUAUAUGCAGACUGGUGCCACUAAGCUCAAACGGAUUCUUGAAGGAUUGCCCUAGCCGCAUUUUGACUCUGAGCAAUACAUGAUGCUUUAAUAUCCGCAGGGGACGACGCCAAAGGAGAUUUUUUUCUCCGACACUUCCAUCUCCGACACCUCCUUCUCCAUCACCACCUUCGAAGGUCACGGCCGUAUUCAAUUCCUGACACCCCAACCCCAUCUGGUCUUCCUAUUUGUUGUCGUCGACGAACCCUAACCCCACACCACCGAUUUAAGUCACCACCUCAUUCAACUCCCAGAAACUUGAAGCCGUUGGCUUCAUCUCCUGCCAUUAGAAUAUAUCCUCCGCGCUUAUACGAAGUUGAGAAAACAUCAAUUCACAACAAGAGUUAUUUAAACGAUCAAGAAGAUGAAGAUGUAUUGUUUUCCGGUGUAGCCAGCGGAAGAGCUGGUGUAUCAUGCUCUCCUUUAGUGACUUAUGCCGACUAUAACCAAGAAAGAAUAGAAAAUCAGAUUUGGAUUAUGAGGCCAAGGUUAAGACACAUAGGAUCAAAUUCUCAAUUUUUCUCGUGUUGGUGAAACUGACUCAAGACAAGACAAGAGAAAGAGACUGAAUCAUGCUCAAGACGGGAAAUGAUCAAGAGUGUGCUGAGAUGGGGAUUGACUGAUUUGAGUUUUUUCUCUAUUGUAGUUGUGGGGCUUGUAACACUGAAAUUUUAGCAUCUUGGAAUGAGCGAAAGAAAUCAAAUACCUUGUUGUUCCCUAAAAGUUUAUUGGCAUUGUAAACAGUUUAAAUUGUUUAUGUCAUCCACAUCCUCUUUUGAGCACACAGUGGGGUAGUAAUAGAUCACAUCUUCAUUUCUUUUUUACACUAACAAAGAAAA